GACGAACGCUGGCGGCGUGCUUAACACAUGCAAGUCGAACGGAAAGGCCCUGCUUUUGUGGGUUUCUCGAGUGGCGAACGGGUGAGUAACACGUGAGUAACCUGCCCUUAUCUUUGGGAUAACUUCAGGAAACUGGGGCUAUUACCGGAUAGGAGCUCCUGCUGCAUGGUGGGGAGUGGAAAAUUUCGGCGGUUGGGGAUGGACUCGCGGCUUAUCAGCUUGAUGGUGGGGUAGUGGCUUACCAAGGCUUUGACGGGUAGGCGGCCUGUGAGGGGGACCGGCCACAUUGGGACUGAGGUACGGCCCAGACUCCUACGGGAGGCAGCAGUGGGGAAUAUUGCACAAUGGGCGGAAGCCUGAUGCAGCAACGCCGCGUGCGGGAUGACGGCCUUCGGGUUGUAAACCGCUUUCGCCUGUGACGAAGCGUGAGUGACGGUAAUGGGUAAAGAAGCACCGGCUAACUACGUG
rnacentral:rRNA from 1 species